rnacentral:rRNA from 1 species
CAACUGAAGAGUUUGAUCAUGGCUCAGAUUGAACGUUGGCGGCAGGCCUAAUACAUGCAAGUCGAACGAGAAAGUCCCUUCGGGGACGAGUAGAGUGGCGGACGGGUGAGUAACGCGUAGGAAUCCACCCACUAGUGGGGGAUAACCCGAGGAAACUCGGGCUAAUACCGCAUGUGACCUCCGGUUUCGACCGGGGAUGAAAGCGGGGGCUCGGCGCGCCGGCGCAAGUCGGUGUCAAGACCUCGCGCUAGUGGACGAGCCUGCGUUGGAUUAGCUUGUUGGUGAGGUAAUGGCUCACCAAGGCUACGAUCCAUAGCUGGUCUGAGAGGACGAUCAGCCA